CGGGGGCGUUGUCCCUUUGUCGGUGGUAUUUCUACCACAAACUAAGGACCCUAUCUCGCUCUAUCUCGAAUUUUCAGGUUCAGGGGAGGAGGCGUCCAAGGUUUUAACCUUAUUUACUUUCUCUCUCUUAUAGUGCGUUGACCAUAACGUCACUAUAGAGAGGUAACCCGCCUGGCUACAUGCCUCUGGCCACACAAUAAACCCUUAAAGGUAAGGCGUUCAGAGUGUGAGGGGACUAAUCAUCCCCCACCUGGAUAACAGAAGUUAUCCCAAGUGCCCCACCAUUCUGUUACUGAACUAAUAAAACCAUGAGUCUCGUACGGAGGCGAAAACCCCCUCAGAUAUGUAUGGCACGACUCCACACUUUGCCUUCUUUGAGUUUGAAGUGUAUCCUUGCCCACGAGCGAGGCAAAUGCUCGAAAGAGGGCGAUAAGAGGCACUUUC
rnacentral:lncRNA from 1 species